AACGAACGCUGGCGGCAGGCCUAACACAUGCAAGUCGAGCGAGACCUUCGGGUCUAGCGGCGGACGGGUGAGUAACGCGUGGGAACGUGCCCUUUGGUACGGAAUAGCCCCGGGAAACUGGGAGUAAUACCGUAUAAUGUCUACGGACCAAAGUGUGGGACCUUCGGGCCACAUGCUAUCGGAUGCGCCUACGUGGGAUUAGCUAGUUGGUAGGGUAAAGGCCUACCAAGCCAACGAUCUGUAGCUGGUCUGAGAGGACGACCAGCCACACUGGAACUGAGACACGCUCCAGACUCCUACGGGAGGCAGCAGUGGGGGAAUUUUGGACAAUGGGCGAAAGCCUGAUCCAGCCAUUCCGCGUGCAGGAUGAAGGCCCUCGGGUUGUAAACUGCUUUGUACAGAACGAAAAGGUUUACUAUUAAUACUAGGAGCUCAUGACGGUACUGUAAGAAUAAGCACCGGCUAACUACGUG
rnacentral:rRNA from 1 species